UGAACGCUGGCGGAAUGCUUUACACAUGCAAGUCGAACGGCAGCACGGGGGCAACCCUGGUGCGAGUGGCGGAACGGGUGAGUAAUAUAUCGGAACGUGCCCAGUCGUGGGGGAUAACGUAGCGAAAGCUACGCUAAUACCGCAUACGAUCUACGGAUGAAAGCGGGGGAUCGCAAGACCUCGCGCGAUUGGAGCGGCCGAUAUCAGAUUAGCUAGUUGGUGGGGUAAAAGCCCACCAAGGCGACGAUCUGUAGCUGGUCUGAGAGGACGACCAGCCACACUGGAACUGAGACACGGCCCAGACUCCUACGGGAGGCAGCAGUGGGGAAUAUUGGGCAAUGGGGGAAACCCUGACCCAGCAACGCCGCGUGAAGGACGAAGGCCUUCGGUUGUAAACUUCUUUGAUCAGGGACGAAAAAAUAGACGGUACCUGA
rnacentral:rRNA from 1 species